GGAUGUGAGGGUGAUCUGGCUGCGACAUCUGUCACCCCAUUGAUCGCCAUGGUUGAUUUGGCUGAUCUGCCUGGAUAGGUGGGUGUCCCCUUCCUCCCUCCAUGUGCACCGCUCCCAAAGCUGCAUGCUCGGUGGAAGAGGACGGCCUUCCCCAAAUAGAAACAGACCCGUCUUUGGUCAGGUAGCUGCACUCCCCUGCUAGAACCUCCAAACAAGCUCUCAAGAAACUGGCAGGAAAAAAUUUAAUGAAUAAAACAAAUGAAUGCUUCUUAAAAGAAUUGAA
rfam:Erinaceus europaeus unplaced genomic scaffold scaffold00908, whole genome shotgun sequence